rnacentral:rRNA from 1 species
GAUGAACGCUGGCGGCGUGCCUAAUACAUGCAAGUCGAGCGAACAGACGAGGAGCUUGCUCCUCUGACGUUAGCGGCGGACGGGUGAGUAACACGUGGAUAACCUACCUAUAAGACUGGGAUAACUUCGGGAAACCGGGGCUAAUACCGGAUAAUAUAUUGAACCGCAUGGUUCAAUAGUGAAAGACGGUUUUGCUGUCGCUUAUAGAUGGAUCCGCGCCGCAUUAGCUAGUUGGUAAGGUAACGGCUUACCAAGGCAACGAUGCGUAGCCGACCUGAGAGGGUGAUCGGCCACACUGGAACUGAGACACGGUCCAGACUCCUACGGGAGGCAGCAGUAGGGAAUCUUCCGCAAUGGGCGAAAGCCUGACGGAGCAACGCCGCGUGAGUGAUGAAGGUCUUCGGAUCGUAAAACUCUGUUAUUAGGGAAGAACAAAUGUGUAAGUAACUAUGCACGUCUUGACGGUACCUAAUCAGAAAGCCACGGCUAACUACGUG